AGCAAAUCUGACAUGGAUAAUAUUGUUUAUCAGGUCAAGAUCUAUCUGCCCUGAAAUUUUCAGAUGAAUCAGACAACCUGUUGUUGGGUUACUGCCCCUGAAUUGGUAAUUUUAAAGAAAUUUUGCUGUUUUUGGUUAUUAUCUUGAAUAUUAUUAUAGAUAGAGAUAAACUGUAAACAGCAAUAAUGUUCAGCAAAGUAAGAUUUACAAAUAAGUCAACAUGACGGAAAUGGUCAGUUGACCCCUUUAGGAGUUAUUGCCCUUUAUAGUCAAUUUUUAACCAUUUUUCGUAAAUCUUAGUAAUCUUUUUACAAAAAUCUUCUCCUCUGAAACUACUGGGCCAAAUACUUCCAAACUUUAACUGAAUGUUCCUUAGGGUAUCUAGUUUGUAAAUUGUAUCCGAAGUUAUGAUCUAUCAACAAACAUGGUCGCCAUUGCUAAAAAUAGAACAUAGGGGUCAAAUGCAGUUUUUGGCUUAUAACUUAAAAACCAAAGCAUUUAGAGCAAAUCUGACAUGGGGGUAAUAUUGUUUAUCAGGUCAAGAUCUAUCUGCCCUGAAAUUUUCAGAUGAAUCAGACAACCUGUUGUUGGGUUGCUGCCCCUAAGUUGGUAAUUUUAAGGAAAUUUUGCUGUUUUUGGUUAUUAUCUUGAAUAUUAUUAUAGAUAGAGAUAAACUGUAAACAGGAAUAAUGUUCAGCAAAGUAAGAUUUACAAAUAAGUCAACAUGACGGAAAUGGUCAGUUGACCCCUUUAGGAGUUAUUGCCCUUUAUAGUCAAUUUUUAACCAUUUUUCGUAAAUCUUAGUAAUCUUUUACAAAAAUCUUCUCCUCUGAAACUACUGGGCCAAAUACUUCCAAACUUUAACUGAAUG
rnacentral:lncRNA from 1 species